rnacentral:rRNA from 1 species
GGGUGAGUAACACGUGGGUAACCUGCCUGUAAGACUGGGAUAACUCCGGGAAACCGGGGCUAAUACCGGAUGGUUGUUUGAACCGCAUGGUUCAAACAUAAAAGGUGGCUUCGGCUACCACUUACAGAUGGACCCGCGGCGCAUUAGCUAGUUGGUGAGGUAAUGGCUCACCAAGGCAACGAUGCGUAGCCGACCUGAGAGGGUGAUCGGCCACACUGGGACUGAGACACGGCCCAGACUCCUACGGGAGGCAGCAGUAGGGAAUCUUCCGCAAUGGACGAAAGUCUGACGGAGCAACGCCGCGUGAGUGAUGAAGGUUUUCGGAUCGUAAAGCUCUGUUGUUAGGGAAGAACAAGUACCGUUCGAAUAGGGCGGUACCUUGACGGUACCUAACCAGAAAGCCACGGCUAACUACGUGCCAGCAGCCGCGGUAAUACGUAGGUGGCAAGCGUUGUCCGGAAUUAUUGGGCGUAAAGGGCUCGCAGGCGGUUUCUUAAGUCUGAUGUGAAAGCCCCCGGCUCAA